GUGGGGAAUAUUGGACAAUGGGCGAAAGCCUGAUCCAGCCAUGCCGCGUGAGUGAUGAAGGCCCUAGGGUUGUAAAGCUCUUUCACCGGGGAAGAUAAUGACGGUACCCGGAGAAGAAGCCCCGGCUAACUUCGUGCCAGCAGCCGCGGUAAUACGAUGGGGGCUAGCGUUGUUCGGAAUUACUGGGCGUAAAGCGCACGUAGGCGGUUUGUUAAGUCAGAGGUGAAAUCCCGGAGCUAAACUCCGGAACUGCCUGUGAUACUGGCAAGCUAGAGUCCGGGAGAGGUAAGUGGAAGUCCUAGUGUAGAGGUGGAAUUCGUAGGUAUUAGGAAGAACACCAGUGGCGAAGGCAGCUUACUGGUCCGGAACUGACGCUGAGGUGCGGAAGCGUGGGGAGCAAACAGGAGUAGAUACCCCUGUAGUCC
rnacentral:rRNA from 1 species